UGUGAUGCUGUGUGGUUUCUGUCACGUACACACACACAGGCACACUCAUGCACACACCCCCUACCUCCCUGCCUACAUUCCACCCAGCCUGACUGCUCUGGAAGGAAGAAUCCCUGCAAGGUGAGUGUUAUUAUAUCCAUUUGUGGACCAGGACUGCGGCUCAGAAGCUUUUCCCAGGACACUGAACUCUGACAGGUGAAUAGCUGCCAAGUGGUGGAGGUUGGCCUGCAGUGAGCAUCAGUCUGACUUCGAAGGACAGAAUGACACAUGGUACAAGCUUUCUGUCUUACUGCCACACGUCAGUGUCCUGGGAGAUGAACCAGAUGCAGGUGAUGCCGAAGAGCUCCCUGAUGAAUGUGGGAAUAAAAAUUUAUAUCAGAAUCGACACUGGUUAUAAUGUGAAUUUAUGACAUUACUUGAGAAUAUUCAAUUCUGCUGUAGAGGACAAAAAAAAUGGAAUAAUGAAAUCCAUCAUAAACCCUGGGCAUAGUUGGUAAGUAAGCAGGUACCUUAUGCGAUAUAGGCAAAACUUAUAGGAUGUAUUAAGUAUAGAUAGAGAGUAAUGUAGUAUAUACUGAGGCAUGUUAAAGAUAAACAGAAUGCAUGAAAUAUAUGCUGGAACAAGGAAGAAUAUUAUAGAUAGAAAUGUCAAGUCAUAUGUCUUGAUCAUUCUAUCUCUAGGCUGACAGCUCAGUCAUCUCUAGAUGAGCCAUUCAUUGGUAACUCAAUAUGGUCUCAUUCUGAGUUUCACAUGAACUGUGCUAAAAAAAAAAAAUGCAGAUAAAACCUUUCACUGUUCAGUAAGUGAAUUGGCCAGGGGGUCCUUGUUUCUUAUCUUAGUCCAUUUUCUGCUGCUAUAACAGAAUAACCUCAGAUGGGAUAAUUGAUAAAGAAUAGAAAUGUAUUUCUCACAGUUCCAGAGGUUGGGAAGUCCAAGGUCAAGGGGCCCAGAUCCGGUGAGGGUCUUGUUACUGUCAUAGCAUGGUGGAAGGGCCAGAGAGAAAGUUGGAGAGAGAGAAUGGAACUCACAGCCCCCAGCCCUUUUAUAAUCCACAUUAAUCCAUUCAUGAGGAUGGAACCCUCGUGAUCUAAACACCUCCCAUGAGGCCCCACCUCCUAACACUGUGGCAUCAGGGAUUGCAUUUCCAGCACAUGCUUUUUGGGGAGCACAUUCAAACCAUAGCAUCCCUGCAUCUCUCUGACAUAGCAAAUGUGUGUCAUUGGCCCAGCAGGCCUUCUGUCUGUGGGCCCCCUUGCUCAAACCUCAACUCUGGUCUCCUGACCACACUGUUAGUGUAGAGAAAGACAGGACGUUUGGAGCUUGCAUAGUCCAGAAGUCAAGAAGCGGUUGCUGUCACCUGCCUGCAACCCAUCCUUACGAACUGACUCUAUCUCCUUCCCCUUGCUUUUCCCUGUGUGUUUUAAAUUAAUUUAAUAAACUGUGUGAGGCCGGGUGUGGUGGCUCAUGCCUGUAAUCCAAGCACUCUGGGAGGCUGAGACAGGUGGAUCACCUGAGGUCAGGGAUUCAAGACCAGCCUGGCCAACAUGGUGAAACCCUGUCUCUACAAAAAUACAAAAAUUAGCCAGGCAUGAUGUGGGUGCCUGUAAUCCCAGCUACUCAGGAGGCUGAGGCGGGAGAAUCACUGGAACUCAGAGGCAGAGGUUGCAGUGAGCCGAGAUCGUGCCAUUGCACUCCAGCCUGGGUGGCAGA
rnacentral:lncRNA from 1 species